AAUAUCUGACAAAUGGACUUUGGGGUCUCUCAUUAGUUGCUUAUAUGAAUCAGCAGCCAAGGUUUUUCUCAUCUGUAAGAAAUGGACAUUCCCACGUACCUCGCCGCUCUUGUACUAUGGUUUGAUGACCUAUGAUGUAAGACAGUGCACAGCAUGGGGCCCACUCUGCUAAGGACUUCCCAUAAAUGAGGAUUGAGAAGCACAAGCGUCACUCCGUGAGAGGUGGGUUUAUGUGCUCACAAUGAGUGACUCAGUGCCAGGCUUUGACAGGACAGUCAGAGCUAAAAUUCUGUUUCUGCUAGAUGAUUAAUACAGACAGGUCACUGGGUAGAAACCCAGGCCGGGUUAGGGUCAGAGCAGAGGGGAGUGGGAAGCCUCCUUUCUGGAGUGUCAAGUCUCAGUGCUGACCAUGGGACUUGCAUCUGCUCUUCUGGACUAUGGUUUCACGUGUUCUUGCAUCAGUUUCUGGGCAACAAAACAACUCUCAUUUCCUGUUAUUUCCACAGCAGAUUCUAGCACAGAGAGGUCUGAGCCAGAACGACUCCCUGACCGUGGAGACUAUGGAAAUAAGUGGAGUUUGUGCAGCUGCCCAAGGAUGCCCCUGGCAAGUUAAAUUUCUUCCAUCUACCUGCUCGGUCAUCCCAAGGCACAUGGUUUUGCCCUCACUGCCACAAGUUGGUGAGCUCUGCCACACACGUGUUUCUGGAAAGAAGACAGAAGUGUUUCAUGAAGCUUUGUCUCCCCAUGCAAGAGAUGAUACCCUCACCAGGAGUCCCAUCUGCCUUUCCUUGGCAAGAACUGAGAUGUGGACACAUGGCUGCUCAUUGCAGCAACAGAGUCUGGAAAGAAGACUAUUUUUUUCUCCAGGGUGCAUUAUCACCUCCGUGGAAUACAUGGGUGCUGGAUAGCAGCUAGCUAUGUCUACAUAGCAUCUAUUAACUUCUUUGAUUCUUACAGCAAGCCUGUGCUAUAGUUAUCAGCGAAUGCACUUUUUUGAAUGAGGGACUGGUGGGACAAAUAAGUUUAGACUAUGUUUCCCAAAGUCUAUACAGCCAUUACUUAGAGUAGCAGGGGACAGCAUGCUUAUCUGGGGCUCCCAUGGGCUCACAAGAAGCCUGAGGGCAGGAAUGUGGUUUUACCACUUUGCACAUCUUCCUAUACCCAUAUUACUGGGUGUCCAGUUGGUUGCCAGCCUGGCCGUUCUGAGUUGAGUACAACCAGAUUCCACGAGGCUUGCUUUAUUUCAGGAAGUGUCUUCUCAACGUUGCAAAUGUGUUUCACUGAGUCCUAUCUCUGGGUGUCAAAGGCUAAAUGAUUCUCAAGUCUGUCCUACCCAAUCACAAGCAUGCUUUUCAGGAUGGUGUCCAAAGCACACUUUUAUUAAACAAAACUGCAUUUGAUAUUGACAUAUGGUAAAAUUGUCUUUCAUUCCACCUCUCUGUUGGUUCAUAUGGUCUGAGGAAGAGAAAAAAGGC
rnacentral:lncRNA from 1 species